rnacentral:snoRNA from 1 species
GGCCUCCUGGUGCUUACCACAGGCUGUGUUCUUACACUGACUGUACAGAAAUAGGAGGCAGAGUAAACUUGCCCCAUGAGCCCCUGGUUCAAUCCCAGUCAGGGCACAGGG